rnacentral:tRNA from 1 species
UUCCCGCGCCGGGAAUCGAACCCGGGCUUUCUGGGUGAAAGCCAGAUAUCCUUGCCACUAGACCACGUGGGA